rnacentral:lncRNA from 1 species
GUUCUGAUCGCCAUAGUUCGCAGUUUAAUCCUCAAGGAAGUAAAGAAGCACAGAGAGCACUGUGGGGAUGCUUGUGUGCCAGCCACCAUCAGGGUCUCAUAGAGAGGACGCAGCGGAUGCUGAAACGCAAGAGUAAAUGCUGAUGUGACUAACGGAGAGAAGAAAAAAUACCAGCACAGACUCAUUUGAGAGCAUACACCCAAUGACCUAAGACCCUCCCAGAAGACUCACCUCCUAAAGGCCACAGAACCUAUCAGUAAUACCAUCCUGGGGGCCUCGCACACCUGAGGGACACUAAGGAUCCAUACUUUAGAAACAAUGCAACAUCUGACGAUCGCACAGCUCGCUGGUUAUGCAGGUUUUCCCCUGACCUAGAAACCUCUUAGCAUAAAACUGGAAUAAGAAGGUGAUGUCUGUUACAGCUUCUUCCAUCUAUAAUGAAGUAAUUCUUUUGUU